rfam:Nocardia nova SH22a, complete genome.
ACGGAAGGGCGGAAGGCCAAGAUCGAAACGGAAGAGAAGGUUCGAUCUCCCGGCCGCACUUCCCAGCACGGACACCAGGCACCCACGCGGAGCGCGCCGCGACAAGGGCAGAAGCGUUGUGGGCCUGCGAAAUUCGCAUUCACCUCGGCAAUGGCCUCGCACAGGUUGCGGGGAUGAACCGGCGGAGUGCGGAUGAUCGCCGAGGCCGCAGAACACAACCCGACCAGCACGCUUGGUAACCGGGCAGUCCGUGCUAGCGGGCGGUGAGGCCGACGACGGCUACGCCGCCCGCUUCGACGU